AGAGUUUGAUUCUGGCUCAGGACGAACGCUGGCGGCGUGCUUAACACAUGCAAGUCGAACGAAGCAGCUUAACGGAACUCUUCGGAGGGAAGAUGAGUUGACUGAGUGGCGGACGGGUGAGUAACGCGUGAGCAACCUGCCCAUAAGAGGGGGAUAACAGUUGGAAACGACUGCUAAUACCGCAUAAGACCACAUUACCGCAUGGUAGAGAGGUCAAAGAAAUUCGCUUAUGGAGGGGCUCGCGUCCCAUUAGGUAGUUGGUAGGGUAAAGGCCUACCAAGCCGACGAUGGGUAGCCGACCUGAGAGGGUGAUCGGCCACACUGGAACUGAGACACGGUCCAG
rnacentral:rRNA from 1 species